AUUGAACGCUGGCGGAAUGCUUUACACAUGCAAGUCGAGCGGCAGCACGGGGGCAACCCUGGUGGCGAGCGGCGAACGGGUGAGUAAUACAUCGGAACAUGCCCAGUCGUGGGGGAUAACACUUCGAAAGAAGUGCUAAUACCGCAUACGUCCUGAGGGAGAAAGCGGGGGAUCUUCAGACCUCGCGCGAUUGGAGUGGCCGAUGUCAGAUUAGCUAGUUGGUGGGGUAAAGGCCUAACAAGGCAACGAUCUGUAGCUGGUCUGAGAGGAUGAUCAGCCACACUGGGACUGAGACACGGCCCAGACUCCUACGGGAGGCAGCAGUGGGGAAUUUUGGACAAUGGGGGCAACCCUGAUCCAGCCAUUCCGCGUGAGUGAAGAAGGCCUUCGGGUUGUAAAGCUCUUUCGGCAGGAACGAAACGGCGAGCUCUAACAUAGCUUGCUAAUGACGGUACCUGAAGAAGAAGCACCGGCUAACUACGUGCCAGCCGCCGCAGUAACAC
rnacentral:rRNA from 1 species